GCGACGCCGCGUGAGGGAUGACGGCCUUCGGGUUGUAAACCUCUUUCAGCAGGGACGAAGCGCAAGUGACGGUACCUGUAGAAGAAGGACCGGCCAACUACGUGCCAGCAGCCGCGGUAAUACGUAGGGUCCGAGCGUUGUCCGGAAUUACUGGGCGUAAAGAGCUCGUAGGUGGUUUGUCGCGUUGUUCGUGAAAACUCACAGCUUAACUGUGGGCGUGCGGGCGAUACGGGCAGACUUGAGUACUGCAGGGGAGACUGGAAUUCCUGGUGUAGCGGUGGAAUGCGCAGAUAUCAGGAGGAACACCGGUGGCGAAGGCGGGUCUCUGGGCAGUAACUGACGCUGAGGAGCGAAAGCGUGGGGAGCGAACAGGAUUAGAUACCCUGGUAGUCCACGCCGUAAACGGUGGGUACUAGGUGUGGGUUUCCUUCCUUGGGAUCCGUGCCGUAGCUAACGCAUUAAGUACCCCGCCUGGGGAGUACGGCCGCAAGGCUAAAACUCAAAGAAAUUGACGGGGGCCCGCACAAGCGGCGGAGCAUGUGGAUUAAUUCGAUGCAACGCGAAGAACCUUACCUGGGUUUGACAUGCACAGGACGUGCCUAGAGAUAGGUAUUCCCUUGUGGCCUG
rnacentral:rRNA from 1 species